AUUUGAAUGCUAGAGGUGUGCAUGUUCCAAUCUCAAGACUGAGAGAGUCUUUGCACAGAGUGGAUGCUGAGGGAGUGUACAUGAGACGUCUACGGCUGCAUGUAAUAAGACGACGGCAGUAUUCUGUUCCUGGCCCAAACUCUUUAUGGCACAUAGAUGGUCACCACAAGCUUAUAAGGUGGAGAUUUGUUGUCCAUGGUGGGGUGGACGGAUUCAGUCGACUGGUGGUCUACCUGAAUGUGGCUGGCAAUAAUAGGGCUGGCACUGUCCUACAGAGCUUUAUCAAUGCCGUUCAGCAGU